rnacentral:ncRNA from 10 species
ACCAUUCUUUCCUUGGAGUUGUGCUACUGUCUGGUGAGUGCACGGCAAGAGCAGUCCUCCUAACCCUAUAUAACACACCUGUCUCAACUAGAGCAUCACUUCACCUUGGUGCAGCUUUUGGAAAA